AUGCCGGAGGAUGAGCCGGGAUGGGGCUGGAAUUCUGCGCUGGGAAGGGAAAGCACCGGUGGAUUUGGGACCGUGAAAUGCUUUGAGAGUCCGGGUGAGGAGGAGCCCCGAGAACUCCCCAGGACCUCCCGCCCCCCGCCCAGGAUUUGCUGCGUUUCCCUUUUUUUAGUGCCAAAACCGACCCCAUCGCCCCCUCCCGGGUCUGCUGGUGGCUCCGUGUCCAGCUGUGUCCAGCUGUGUCCAGCUGUGGUGUCCAGCUGUGGUGUCCAGCUGUGUCCAGCCAUGUCCAGUUGUGGUGUCCUGCUGUGUCCUGCUGUGUCCUGCUGUGGUGUCCAGCUGUGUCCUGCCACGUCCAGCUGUGUCCAGCUGUGGUGUCCAGUUGUGUCCAGCUGCAUCCAGCCAGUGUCCAGCUGUGUCCUGCAGUGUCCAGCAACAUCCAGCUGUGUCCAGCCAUGUCCAGCUGUGGUGUCCAGCCAUGUCCAGCCACAUCCAGCUGUGUCCAGCUGUGUCCAGCUGUGUCCAUCCCUCCGUCCUGCCCAGGCCAGCGCUCAGCCCCGGACCCCAGGGGCAGGAGCUGUCCAUGAAACAGGUCCCAGUCGGUCUCUGGGGACGAGGAAAACCACAAAAAACUAUAAAAUAAACACCAGACUCCUGGUUGAACGGCUCUGCGUGUUAAUCCUUGGGGUGGAAAACACCUUUAAAGCAAAAGGAUUCGGGGCUGGGGAGGGAGGGACAAUCCUCAUUUAUGAAAAUCUGCCCAACCCAGGUCAUUUGGGGUCCUAAAAUAACCCAAACUCCCCUCAAAACGAGGGUCCUUCAGCUGCUGCUCUUGAAACUCGACUCUCUUUGGAAAUUAAAAUCCCCCUGCACACCUCAGCCUUCUCCUGGCCACUUUUGGCUUAAAAUCUCCCCUUUCUCGGGAAUUCUCCGUCGCCAAAGGGACUCUCAGUUGCUUUUCUCUUUCUCCCCGCCCAGAUCCUCUCCCGGAGGGCUCAGUCCCAGCCGCUGUUCUCCUCGCUUUGGUUUUGUUGUUGUUUUUUUUUUGCCCGAAUUUCCCUUUUUUAAACCAUUUUUGGCUCCUGCCCGCGCCCCGCCCCUUCCC
rnacentral:lncRNA from 1 species